rnacentral:snRNA from 1 species
GAAUUGAGGGCGAUUUGGCUGCAACAUCUGUCACCCCAUUGAUCGCCAGGGUUGAUUCAGCUAAUCUGGCUGGCUAGGCGGGUGUUCCCUCCCUCCACGUGCAUCCUUCCCAAAGCUGCGCACUCGGUGGAAGUGGAAGACGUCCCAGGUAUAGAAGGAGUGUAUCGAGCUCUCCAAUCUUCGGUCCUGGGUAUACAAUAGCUGCGCUCUCCUGCUAGAACCUCCAAACAAGCCGUAUGACUUCUAUGCAGUAAUAGUAAUAAUACUAAACUUAAUUUGCUACCUGUCUUCCCUCUUGGCUCAAGGCAGGGCACAACA